GACGUAGGGCGCGAGCGUUGUCCGGAUUUAUUGGGCGUAAAGAGCUCGUAGGCGGCUCGUUGCGUCGGCUGUGAAAACCCGCAGCUCAACUGUGGGCUUGCAGCUGAUACGGGCGGGCUGGGAUUCGGUAGGGGAGACUGGAAUUCCUGGUGUAGCGGUGAAAUACGCAGAUAUCGGGAAGAACACCCGUGGCGAAGGCGGCACUCUGGGACGGUACUGACGCUGAGACGCGAAAGCGUGGGGAGCGAACAGG
rnacentral:rRNA from 1 species